rnacentral:rRNA from 1 species
AUUGAACGCUGGCGGCAUGCUUUACACAUGCAAGUCGAACGGUAGAGGGGGCAACCCCUUGAGAGUGGCGAACGGGUGAGUAAUGCAUCGGAACGUGCCCAGUCGUGGGGGAUAACUACUCGAAAGAGUGGCUAAUACCGCAUACGACCUGAGGGUGAAAGCGGGGGGACCGAAAGGCCUCGCGCGAUUGGAGCGGCCGAUGUCAGAUUAGGUAGUUGGUGGGGUAAAGGCCUACCAAGCCUGCGAUCUGUAGCUGGUCUGAGAGGACGACCAGCCACACUGGGACUGAGACACGGCCCAGACUCCUACGGGAGGCAGCAGUGGGGAAUAUUGCACAAUGGGCGAAAGCCUGAUGCAGCAAUGCCGCGUGUGUGAAGAAGGCCUGCGGGUUGUAAAGCACUU